rnacentral:rRNA from 1 species
GAUGAACGCUGGCGGCGUGCCUAAUACAUGCAAGUCGAGCGAACGGACGAGAAGCUUGCUUCUCUGAUGUUAGCGGCGGACGGGUGAGUAACACGUGGAUAACCUACCUAUAUGACUGGGAUAACUUCGGGAAACCGGAGCUAAUACCGGAUAAUCUUUUGAACCGCAUGGUUCAAAAGUGAAAGACGGUCUUGCUGUCACUUCUAGAUGGAUCCGCGCUGCAUUAGCUAGUUGGUGAGGUAACAGCUUACCAAGGCGACGAUGCAUAGCCGACCUGAUAGGGGGAUCGGCCACACGGGAACGUAGCCACGGUCCAGACUCCUACGGGAGGCAGCAGUAGGGAAUCUUCCGCAAUGGGCGAAAGCCUGACGGAGCGACGCCGCGUGAGUGAUGAAGGUCUUCGGAUCGUAAAACUGUGUUAUUAGGGAAGAACAUAUGUGUAAGGAACUGUGCACAUCUUGACGGUACCUAAUCAGAAAGCCACGGCUAACUACGUG